GACGAACGCUGGCGGCGUGCUUAACACAUGCAAGUCGAACGGAAAGGCCCUGCGUUUGUUGGGUGCUCGAGUGGCGAACGGGUGAGUAACACGUGAGUAACCUGCCCUUGACUUUGGGAUAACUUCAGGAAACUGGGGCUAAUACCGGAUAGGAGCUCCUGCUGCAUGGUGGGGGUUGGAAAGUUUCGGCGGUUGGGGAUGGACUCGCGGCUUAUCAGCUUGUUGGGGGGGUAGUGGCUUACCAAGGCUUUGACGGGUAGCCGGCCUGAGAGGGUGACCGGCCACAUUGGGACUGAGAUACGGCCCAGAAUCCUACGGGAGGCAGCAGUGGGGAAUAUUGCACAGUGGGCGGAAGCCUGAUGCAGCGACGCCGCGUGCGGGAUGACGGCCUUCGGGUUGUAAACCGCUUUCGCAUGUGACGAAGCGUGAGUGACGGUAAUGGGUAAAGAAGCACCGGCUAACUACGUG
rnacentral:rRNA from 1 species